rnacentral:rRNA from 1 species
AACGCGAAGAACCUUACCUGGGUUUGACAUGGAUCGGGAGCGCUCAGAGAUGGGUGUGCCUCUUUUGGGGUCGGUUCACAGGUGGUGCAUGGCUGUCGUCAGCUCGUGUCGUGAGAUGUUGGGUUAAGUCCCGCAACGAGCGCAACCCUUGUUCACUGUUGCCAGCACGUUAUGGUGGGGACUCAGUGGAGACCGCCGGGGUCAACUCGGAGGAAGGUGGGGAUGACGUCAAGUCAUCAUGCCCCUUAUGUCCAGGGCUUCACGCAUGCUACAAUGGCUGGUACAGAGAGUGGCGAGCCUGUGAGGGUGAGCGAAUCUCGGAAAGCCGGUCUCAGUUCGGAUUGGGGUCUGCAACUCGACCUCAUGAAGUCGGAGUCGCUAGUAAUCGCAGAUCAGCAACGCUGCGGUGAAUACGUUCCCGGGUCUUGUACACACCG